rnacentral:rRNA from 1 species
GACAGAGGCCUCAAGCGUUAGGCGGAAUCACUGGGCUUAAAGCGUGUGUAGGCGGAUCGUUAAGUGCCUUGUGAAAUCCCACGGCUUAACUGUGGAACGGCUGGGCAUACUGGCGGUCUUGAGCCAUCUAGGGGCGACUGGAACAAACGGUGGAGCGGUGAAAUGCGCAGAUAUCAGGAAGAACACCUAUGGCGAAGGCAGCUCUCUGGGACGGUACUGACGCUGAGACGCGAAAGCGUGGGGAGCGAACAGG